rnacentral:rRNA from 1 species
UACGUAGGUGGCAAGCGUUGUCCGGAUUUACUGGGCGUAAAGAGCGCGCAGGCGGUCGUUCAAGUCGCGUGUGAAAGCCCCCCGGCUCAACUGGGGAGGGUCACGCGAUACUGAUCGACUCGAAGGCAGGAGAGGGAAGUGGAAUUCCCGGUGUAGUGGUGAAAUGCGUAGAUAUCGGGAGGAACACCAGUGGCGAAGGCGACUUCCUGGCCUGUUCUUGACGCUGAGGCGCGAAAGCUAGGGGAGCAAACGGG